AUUGAACGCUGGCGGCAUGCUUUACACAUGCAAGCCGAACGGUAACAGGGUGCUUGCACCGCUGACGAGUGGCGAACGGGUGAGUAAUGCGUCGGAACGUGCCGAGUAGUGGGGGAUAACGCAUCGAAAGGUGUGCUAAUACCGCAUACGUACUGAGGUAGAAAGUGGGGGACCUUCGGGCCUCACGCUAUUCGAGCGGCCGACGUCUGAUUAGCUAGUUGGUGAGGUAAAGGCUCACCAAGGCGACGAUCAGUAGCGGGUCUGAGAGGAUGAUCCGCCACACUGGGACUGAGACACGGCCCAGACUCCUACGGGAGGCAGCAGUGGGGAAUUUUGGACAAUGGGCGCAAGCCUGAUCCAGCCAUGCCGCGUGUCUGAAGAAGGCCUUCGGGUUGUAAAGGACUUUUGUCCGGGAGCAAAUGCCUGGUGUUAAUAGCACUGGGAGCUGAGAGUACCGGAAGAAUAAGCACCGGCUAACUACGUGCCAGCAGCCGCGGUAAAAC
rnacentral:rRNA from 1 species